rnacentral:rRNA from 1 species
GGGUCCGUAGGCGGAUCAUUAAGUCAGUGGUGAAAGCCGGCAGCUCAACUGUCGAACUGCCAUUGAUACUGAUGAUCUUGAAUACGGUUGAAGUUGGCGGAAUAGGUCAUGUAGCGGUGAAAUGCUUAGAUAUGACCUAGAACACCGAUUGCGAAGGCAGCCAACUAAACCGUUAUUGACGCUGAGGGACGAAAGCGUGGGGAGCGAACAGGAUUAGAUACCCUGGUAGUCCACGCCGUAAACGAUGAUCACUCGUUGCUAGCGAUACACUGUUAGUGACCAAGCGAAAGUGUUAAGUGAUCCACCUGGGAAGUACGUUCGCAAGAAUGAAACUCAAAUGAAUUGACGGGGACCCGCACAAGCGGUGGAGCAUGUGGUUUAAUUCGAUGCAACGCGAAAAACCUUACCUACUCUUGACAUACUUGGGAGCUCUUGUAAUGACGAGUGUGCCUUAUGGAACCAAGAUACAGGUGCUGCAUGGCU